rnacentral:rRNA from 1 species
AGAGCACCACCAGGAGUGGAGCCUGCGGCUUAAUUUGACUCAACACGGGAAAACUCACCCGGCCCGGACACUGGAAGGAUUGACAGAUUGAGAGCUCUUUCUUGAUUCAGUGGGUGGUGGUGCAUGGCCGUUCUUAGUUGGUGGAGUGAUUUGUCUGGUUAAUUCCGAUAACGAACGAGACUCUAGCCUACUAAAUAGAUCGUCGGCUUACAAACGCCGGCGAGACUUCUUAGAGGGACAGGCGGUGAUUCAACCGCACGAAACAGAGCAAUAACAGGUCUGUGAUGCCCUUAGAUGUCCGGGGCCGCACGCGCGCUACACUGAAGUGAUCAGCGUGCUUUUUCAACCUACUCUGUCAAGAGUGGGGAACCCAAUGAACCUUCUUCGUGAUUGGGAUAGGGGAUUGUAAUUGUUCCCCUUGAACGAGGAAUUCCCAGUAAGCGCGAGUCAUAAGCUCGCGUUGAUUACGUCCCUGCCCUUUGUACACACCGCCCGUCGCUACUACCGAUUGAAUGUUUU